rnacentral:rRNA from 1 species
UACGGGGGGGGCAAGCGUUGUUCGGAAUUACUGGGCGUAAAGCGCGUGUAGGCGGCUCGGUAAGUCUGCUGUGAAAGUCCAGGGCUCAACCCUGGGAUGCCGGUGGAUACUGUCGAGCUCGAGUCCGGAAGAGGCGAGUGGAAUUCCUGGUGUAGCGGUGAAAUGCGCAGAUAUCAGGAGGAACACCAAUGGCGAAGGCAGCUCGCUGGGACGUGACUGACGCUGAGACGCGAAAGCGUGGGGAGCAAACAGG